rnacentral:rRNA from 1 species
UAAACAUGCAAGCCGAGCGGUAGAAGAUCUUCGGAUCUUUGAGAGCGGCGCACGGGUGCGGAACACGUGUGCAACCUACCUUUAUCAGGGGGAUAGCCUUUCGAAAGGAAGAUUAAUACCCCAUAAUAUAUUUGAUGGCAUCAUUAGAUAUUGAAAACUCCGGUGGAUAGAGAUGGGCACGCGCAGGAUUAGAUAGUUGGUAGGGUAACGGCCUACCAAGUCAACGAUCCUUAGGGGGCCUGAGAGGGUGAUCCCCCACACUGGUACUGAGACACGGACCAGACUCCUACGGGAGGCAGCAGUGAGGAAUAUUGGACAAUGGGUGAGAGCCUGAUCCAGCCAUCCCGCGUGAAGGACGACGGCCCUAUGGGUUGUAAACUUCUUUUGUAUAGGGAUAAAC